rnacentral:misc_RNA from 1 species
UCUCCUACUUGACUGAUGUUAUUUACUGUAGCGAGCCCAGAUCCUAAUCCACAAAUCGUAGCAAUAAACAACAACCAGAAGUUUACAGUUCCCAAGGCUUGCAAGAGAUUCAGGUCUUCUUCAUCUGACGGAUUUCUGUCACCAGUAGAAGCCUUUGCUUGACCCUCACCACUAGGCAAUGCACGACAAUCUGCAGGAUUCUCUGCUGUAGAAAAGUCAGAAUAUACUUUUGGCUUUGGUUUGUAACCCCUCUCUUCCAAUAAUGCUUGUGCAA